rnacentral:lncRNA from 1 species
AAAUUCAUAACGAUUAGGUGAAACAAACUUAUAUCCUAGCACCAAAUUCAAGCAUGCAAAUUAAGCGUGCACUCUCAAUCAACAUACAAGAAUAAGUUCUAAAUCAAACGGUUAAGCAAAUUGUAUUCACGACUUAUGCAACGAUAACUGAAAGUAAUCAACUUAUUUCACAUAUAUAAUCAUGGUUUUGAAUACACCCUUAGCCAAAACGAAUUUAGCCAAUCAUACUCAAAGCAAAACAAAGAUUACAUGAAUUAGCCAUUGAAAUAUAAGAUAGAAUACACCUAAAAUUGUUCAACAACUCAGAAUGAAGAGCCAAACAAUUGAGUGAAUCUGUCCCCUUUCCUUGCUUGCGGCAGAUUGGAUGUUGGUGGUUUCUUGGGUAAUUGAAUGGCAAUUGUAGUAAUGAUGUAAGUAUGGAUCGUUCUAACCGGGGAUUAACUAGGGGUGCUAAUCUAAUACAAAUCGACUUAGAAACACAAAAACUAAACUUAAAGACUCUAAUUAGACUACUAAGAUUCAAAACAGAUUUGAAACACUCAAAUCUGCCCAAAACUGACUAAAACAAGUUAAUUGACUCAAACAGCAACUAAGACAAGAUUUGGACGAAUUUGACAAAACUUAUGACUCAAAAUACUUAAAAACACCAAAGAGGACAGAUUAUGAAGACUCAAACUUAACAAAAUAUGGGGGAAUUGUGUUUGGACGAAUUUGAACUAAAUGCACAGAUUGUAAAUUAAAACAGAUUGUAAACUAAAUGUGAUGAAUCAAUGGAUGAUGGAAUGGCUAAGGGGUUCUUCUCCACCCAUGAAAUUUAUGCAACGUAAAUCGAUUUCCAGUUAUCAAUUCAAUAAAUUAUGAACCUCGACACUCCAAGUUAAUUAGGUUCGCUUAAAUUAACUUUCAGAUUUCCCUAGAAUCAUUGAAUUGGAUGAAUAUGCAUCGCAAACAAAUUAUUCCUAACAAGUUCUCUAUAUGAACAACAUGAUAAAGAUACAAGUUAGAAUCAUUAAGUUCUUUGGAAAUCAUAAGCAUCGACAAGGCAAUUGUAACUAUGAAAAGCAUGAUACUCCUGCCAUGAAUCUACUUAACACGAUCGUGACUAGCGAUCUUCACUACUUGCGAAUAUAAAUUCAUAACGAUUAGGUGAAACAAACUUAUAUUCUAGCACCAAAUUCCAGCAUGCAAAUCAAGUGUGCACUCUCAAUCAACAUACAAGAAUAAGUUUUGAAUUAAACGGUUGAGCAAAUUGUAUUCACGACUUAUGAAACGAUAACUGGAAGUAAUCAAUUUAUUUCACAUAAAUAAACAUGGUUUCGAAUACACCCUUAGCCAAAACGAAUUUAGCCAAUCAUACUCAAUGAAAAACAAAGAUUACAAGAAGUAGACAUUGAAAUAUAAGAUAGAAUACACCUAAAAUUGUUCAACAACUCAGAUUGAAGAGCCAAACAACUUUGUGAACUGUCUCCUUCUCUUCCCCUUGCGGCAGAUUGGGAUGGUGUGGUUUCUGGGCUGUUUUUGUGAUGUAGAAUGGAUUAUGGAUGGUAUAGAGGCACGGCAAGGCUUGGGGAUGGUGUGUGGGUGUUGUGUGGAAGGUGUGGAUAUGAAGAAUGGUGGUGGAAAUCGGCAGAGAUGGAGGAGGAAUGGUUUCUGAGGUUGUGGAUGGGUUUUGACGAAUUUUGGAGAGUGUGUGGCUGACUGGAGAUGUUUUUGGCUGCACAAACCUGUUUAUUUAAAGGGAUUAGGAAAUUAAAAACCCUAGGCUAAUUAGGUAAUCAGGAAUUAAGUUUAAAGCUUCUAGAAUUAAGGAAACAAAUCAGAAAAUUAAGGGAAAGGGCAAGGGAAAUUCGGCUAGGGUUUAAAACACAAAAGGAAGGUGUUUUAAAGCAUAAAAACAGGAAAUAGGGAAGAGGAAAUGCAAAGGGGGGUGCGGCAAGGGUUCAAAAGGGUUCUAGGCUUUUGUUUUGUGUCCUAGAAUGCUUAGAAAGUCUUCAUAAUUGCUGAAACUUUUAGGGACAAUUAGGAAAAAUCAAACCAAAGUAGGAAACCUUGGCUUAACUUUCCUACUUCAAGUAGGAAUCCUUGUUGGAGUAGGAAUCCUUGUUCUUCUAGGAAUCCUCAUGUGAUUAGGAAUCCAUCUUCAAUUAGGAAUCCUUCGUUGAUUAGGAAUCCUUCGUCGAUUAGGAAUCCUUCGUCGAUUAGGAAUCCUCCUUCAUGUAAGCACUUUCCUACUUCAACUAGGAAACCUUGUUCAAGUAGGAAUCAUCAUCUUCAAGUCUUCAAAUUCGUCCAAACCUUGGCUCCAAUUAUGUGAUAA